rnacentral:tRNA from 1 species
AUUCUUUUAGUUUAAUUUAAAAUAUGAUUUUGAAGAAAUUAAGAUGAUUGAGGAUGA